rnacentral:rRNA from 1 species
CAGUAGCCGCGGUAAUACGAAGGGUGCAAGCGUUAAUCGGAAUUACUGGGCGUAAAGGGCUCGCAGGCGGUUUCUUAAGUCUGAUGUGAAAGCCCCCGGCUCAACCGGGGAGGGUCAUUGGAAACUGGGAAACUUGAGUGCAGAAGAGGAGAGUGGAAUUCCACGUGUAGCGGUGAAAUGCGUAGAGAUGUAGAGGAACACCAGUGGCGAAGGCGACUCUCUGGUCUGUAACUGACGCUGAGGAGCGAAAGCGUGGGGAGCGAACAGGAUUAGAUACCCCCGUAGUCCCUGUCUCUUAUAC